UAUUUUGACAUUUUAUGAAUUGUUCUAUUAAUCAUUCUCGUAGCUUAAAUGUGGGGUGUAGGACGGUUUGAUUUGUUAUCAGCAAUUUCAGCAUUUUGAUCUUGUUUAUAAUAACUCCUAGAAUUCCUUGAUAAGUUGUAACUUAUUAUCAUUUGCAAAGCUCAGUAGUUUUGUUUUUAUUUCUAUACGAUUUUUUUUAUUUUCGGGAGAAUUUGGUUUUAAUGGUAGGUUAUGAUGCUAUAAAUUAUUUCAACUCUGAUUAAGGGCUUGGUAAACUGUAAAGUCACCUGCCUGUUGACGAAAACUGUAAGUUUACCUAAUCAACUCGUUCAAAAACACUUAUACGAGUAAAAUCAUGAAAUUGGACUAUAAAUUAGGGUUAACUGAAAAGUCUUUUGUAGACGAAACGCGCGUAUGUUGUACAAGAUUGUAUUCCUGGUAUCUAUGAUAAGUUUACUUGCCUUAAAAAAUAUUGAAAAGCACGAGAUGUGUUUUUAUUAGUAAGUUUGUCGUUGAAAAAUUGUAAGAUCUGUUUCAUAAUUUAUAUACAAAUAAAGUUGGUUUCACUCAGUCUUAAUGGUUCUUAAAUAUAGCAUUUUUAUAUAAUUUAGUCGGAGUUGCUUUGUUUAUGGGGCAAUCACAGGAUAUAGGACCAAAAAAUAUUUUGCUAUUGAAAUAUAAACAUGC
rnacentral:lncRNA from 1 species